AACGAACGCUGGCGGCAUGCCUAACACAUGCAAGUCGAACGAGACCUCCGGGUCUAGUGGCGCACGGGUGCGUAACGCGUGGGAACCUGCCCUUAGGUUCGGAAUAACUCCCCGAAAGGGGUGCUAAUACCGGAUAAUGUCUUCGGACCAAAGAUUUUUCGCCUUUGGAUGGGCCCGCGUUGGAUUAGCUAGUUGGUAGGGUAAAAGCCUACCAAGGCGACGAUCCAUAGCUGGUCUGAGAGGAUGAUCAGCCACACUGGGACUGAGACACGGCCCAGACUCCUACGGGAGGCAGCAGUGGUGAAUAUUGGACAAUGGGCGAAAGCCUGAUCCAGCAAUGCCGCGUGAGUGAUGAAGGCCUUAGGGUUGUAAAGCUCUUUUACCCGGGAUGAUAAUGACAGUACCGGGAGAAUAAGCUCCGGCUAACUACGUG
rnacentral:rRNA from 1 species